rnacentral:rRNA from 1 species
CCUACGGGCGGCAGCAGUGAGGAAUAUUGGUCAAUGGACGAGAGUCUGAACCAGCCAAGUAGCGUGAAGGAUGACGGCCCUAUGGGUUGUAAACUUCUUUUAUAUGGGAAUAAAAUGUUCCACGUGUGGGAUUUUGUAUGUACCAUAUGAAUAAGGAUCGGCUAACUCCGUGCCAGCAGCCGCGGUAAUACGGAGGAUCCGAGCGUUAUCCGGAUUUAUUGGGUUUAAAGGGAGCGUAGGUGGAUUGUUAAGUCAGCUGUGAAAGUCUCGGGCUCAACCGUAGAAUUGCAGUUGAAACUGGCAGUCUUGAGUGCAGGAGAGGUAGGCGGAAUUCGUGGUGUAGCGGUGAAAUGCUGAGAUAUCACGAAGAACUCCGAUUGCGAAGGCAGUUCACUGGACUGCAACUGACACUGAGGCUCGAAAGUGUGGGUAUCAAACAGGAUUAGAUACCCGAGUAGUC